UCCCGGAUGGUCUAGUGGUUAAGACCCAGCGCUUUCACUGCUGUAGCCUACGUUCAAUCCCCGGUCUAGGAA
rnacentral:tRNA from 1 species